rnacentral:lncRNA from 1 species
UGAUCAAAAGAUUGGGGAUUAUUUUAAGCCAAAUUUGGGGAGGAUUGAGGCAGAGCACCUAAAAAAUUAAUGGAUAAAGAAACUUGAGGAUUUUGUUCCUGUUGAAGACGCGGUUUGAACCCAGGUGGCAUGAGAUUUGGACCCCACUGUGAUCCUUUGUCAUAGAAAGCUCAGCAUGGCGACUAUGAGAUAAACCAAGAUAUUUUAUAAAGUUGAUUUUCUCAAUAAAUAAAAAGCGAUAUUGG